rnacentral:rRNA from 1 species
GAUGAACGCUGGCGGCGUGCCUAAUACAUGCAAGUCGAGCGAACAGACGAGGAGUUUGCGCCUCUGACGUUAGCGGCGGACGGGUGAGAAACACGUGGAUAACCUACCUAUAAGCCUGGGAUAACUUCGGGAAACCGGAUCUUAUACCGGACAAUCUAUUGAACCGCAUGGGUCAAUAAUUAAAUACGGUUUUGCUGGCCCUUAUAGCUGGAUCCGCGCCGCAUUAGUUAGUUGGUAAGGUAACGGCUUACCAAGGCAACGAUGCGUAGCCGACCUGAGAGGGGGAUCGGCCACACUGGAGCGUAGACGGGGUCCAGGCGCCUACGAGAGGGACCAGUAGGGUAUCUUCCGCAGUAGGCGGGAGCCUGGCGGAACAGCGCCGCGCCUGUGAUGGAGAUCUUCGGAGCGUAAUGCUCUGUUAUUAGGGAAGAACAACUGUGUACGUAACUAUGCACGUCUUGACGGUACCUGAUCAGAAAGCCCCGGCUAACUACGUG